ACGAACGCUGGCGGCGUGCCUAAUACAUGCAAGUAGAACGCUGAAGAGAGGAGCUUGCUCUUCUUGGAUGAGUUGCGAACGGGUGAGUAACGCGUAGGUAACCUGCCUUGUAGCGGGGGAUAACUAUUGGAAACGAUAGCUAAUACCGCAUAACAAUGGAUGACACAUGUCAUUUAUUUGAAAGGGGCAAUUGCUCCACUACAAGAUGGACCUGCGUUGUAUUAGCUAGUAGGUGAGGUAAUGGCUCACCUAGGCGACGAUACAUAGCCGACCUGAGAGGGUGAUCGGCCACACUGGGACUGAGACACGGCCCAGACUCCUACGGGAGGCAGCAGUAGGGAAUCUUCGGCAAUGGGGGCAACCCUGACCGAGCAACGCCGCGUGAGUGAAGAAGGUUUUCGGAUCGUAAAGCUCUGUUGUAAGUCAAGAACGGGUGUGAGAGUGGAAAGUUCACACUGUGACGGUAGCUUACCAGAAAGGGACGGCUAACUACGUGCCAGCAGCCGCGGUAAUACGUAGGUCCCGAGCGUUGUCCGGAUUUAUUGGGCGUAAAGCGAGCGCAGGCGGUUUGAUAAGUCUGAAGUUAAAGGCUGUGGCUCAACCAUAGUUCGCUUUGGAAACUGUCAAACUUGAGUGCAGAAGGGGAGAGUGGAAUUCCAUGUGUAGCGGUGAAAUGCGUAGAUAUAUGGAGGAACACCGGUGGCGAAAGCGGCUCUCUGGUCUGUAACUGACGCUGAGGCUCGAAAGCGUGGGGAGCGAACAGGAUUAGAUACCCUGGUAGUCCACGCCGUAAACGAUGAGUGCUAGGUGUUGGAUCCUUUCCGGGAUUCAGUGCCGCAGCUAACGCAUUAAGCACUCCGCCUGGGGAGUACGACCGCAAGGUUGAAACUCAAAGGAAUUGACGGGGGCCCGCACAAGCGGUGGAGCAUGUGGUUUAAUUCGAAGCAACGCGAAGAACCUUACCAGGUCUUGACAUCCCGAUGCUAUUUCUAGAGAUAGAAAGUUACUUCGGUACAUCGGUGACAGGUGGUGCAUGGUUGUCGUCAGCUCGUGUCGUGAGAUGUUGGGUUAAGUCCCGCAACGAGCGCAACCCCUAUUGUUAGUUGCUACGCAAGAGCACUCUAGCGAGACUGCCGUUGACAAAACGGAGGAAGGUGGGGACGACGUCAAAUCAUCAUGCCCCUUAUGACCUGGGCUACACACGUGCUACAAUGGCGCAUACAAAGAGAAGCGACCUCGCGAGAGCAAGCGGACCUCAUAAAGUGCGUCGUAGUCCGGAUUGGAGUCUGCAACUCGACUCCAUGAAGUCGGAAUCGCUAGUAAUCGUGGAUCAGAAUGCCACGGUGAAUACGUUCCCGGGCCUUGUACACACCGCCCGUCACACCACGAGAGUUUGUAACACCCGAAGUCGGUGAGGUAACCUUUUGGAGCCAGCCGCCUAAGGUGGGACAGAUGAUUGGGGUG
rnacentral:rRNA from 1 species